rnacentral:rRNA from 1 species
GACAGAGGUGCCGAGCGUUAGGCGGAAUCACUGGGCUUAAAGCGUGUGUAGGCGGGUCGUUAAGUGUCUUGUGAAAUCCCCCGGCUCAACCGGGGAAUGGCUAGGCAUACUGGCGAUCUUGAGCAGUCUAGGGGCAGAUGGAACAAGUGGUGGAGCGGUGAAAUGCGUAGAUAUCACUUGGAACGCCAAAGGUGAAAACAGUCUGCUGGGGACUUGCUGACGCUGAGACACGAAAGCCAGGGGAGCGAACGGG